rnacentral:rRNA from 1 species
CCUACGGGUGGCAGCAGUGAGGAAUAUUGGUCAAUGGGCGAGAGCCUGAACCAGCCAAGUCGCGUGAGGGAGUACUGCCCUCUGGGUUGUAAACCUCUUUUGUCGGGGAGCAAAAGCCGGGCGUGUUCGGCUGUGAGAGUACCCGAAGAAAAAGCAUCAGCUACCUCCGUGCCAGCAGCCGCGGUAGUACGGAGGAUGCGGGCGUUAUCCGGAUUUAUUGGGUUUAAGGGGAGCGCGGGCGGAUUUUUAAGUCAGCGGUAAAAUCGUGGGGCUCAACCCCAUCCAGCCGGUGAAACUGGGGAUCUAGAGUGUGCGAGAGGUAGGCGGAAUGCGUGGUGUAGCGGUGAAAUGCAUAGAGAUCACGCAGAACCCCGAUGGCGAAGGCAGCAUACUGGUGCACAACUGACGCUCAGGUACGAAAGCGUGGGUAUCGAACAGGAUUAGAUACCCUAGUAGUC